ensembl:lncRNA
AUUUAUCUUGCCCAAAUUGGCUUUAGCUUUGCAAUCAAUUGAUCUCAACCAAAUUGGCUUUAGCUUUGCCUUGCUUACGGGGUUGGGUUAGCUUUGCUUUGUUUGUUUGUACCGCAGGGCUAACCCAACCCCGUAACCAACGCCCAAGGCCAUCGGAGCCCAUUUGCACUCCUUCCCGGCCAGUCUGAGGCUUGCAUUUACUUCAGGUGGGCUGAGACCUGCUCUGCUGUUGAGGUGGGUUGCAGUACACAAUGUUAGUGUAAAUGUAAUAUCAUUUAUGGGAUGCAGAGGCUUUGUGACCUUUGUCUUGUGAGUCUGACAUAGGUGUUAUAUGUAAACCAUGCCUUAAAACGUAUGGAGUACGCAGGUGCUGUGCCUGUAAACGGUGUCUUGGAAUUGUAUGGAGUACGCGGGUGCUGCGCCUGUAAACGGUGUCUAGGAAUUGUAUGGAAUCAGUGUAUCCAUGUUUUGUUUGUCAACAUGUAGGCAUUGCUGUAGUGUGCAUACAAUUGUAUGAGUCACAUCUUGAGGAAACAGUACUGUAAUAAACAAAUACUUGUGCAAUCUAACUCAGUGGUGUGCCUUGAUUCAUCAUUACCAAGAUACAGAUCCCACUUGAAGCUAAGUGCAACAGGUAGGUGUGCAGGUAAGGUAGCCUUAGAGGGACUAAAAGUGAAUGUGGUUCAGUAGGCAGCAAAGAGGGUGGCGGUUGGGGUUAGGCAACGGGUUAGGGUUAGGCAACGGGUUAGGGUUAGGCAACGGGUUAGGGUUAGGCAACGGGUUAGGGUUAGGCAACGGGUUAGGGUUAGGCAACGGGUUAGGGUUAGGCAACGGGUUAGGCAACGGGUUAGGCAACGGGUUAGGCAACGGGUUAGGCAACGGGUUAGGGUUAGGGUUAGGGUUAGGGUUAGGCAACGGGUUAGGGUUAGGCAACGGGUUAGGGUUAGGCAACGGGUUAGGGUUAGGCAACGGGUUAGGGUUAGGCAACGGGUUAGGGUUAGGGUUAGGGUUAGGGUUAGGGUUAGGGUUAGGGUUAGGGUUAGGGUUAGGGUUAGGGUUAGGGUUAGGGUUAGGGUUAGGGUUAGGGG